CCUACGGGGGGCAGCAGUGAGGAAUAUUGGUCAAUGGCCGGGAGUCUGAACCAGCCAAGCCGCGUGAAGGACGAAUGUGCCAAGCAUUGUAAACUUCUUUUGUCAGGGAACAAAACCAGGUAUGCGUACCCGAUUGUGUGUACCUGAAGAAUAAGCAUCGGCUAACUCCGUGCCAGCAGCCGCGGUAAUACGGAGGAUGCGAGCGUUAUCCGGAUUUAUUGGGUUAAAGGGGUGCGUAGGCGGACUGUUAAGUCAGCGGUAAAAGCCCGGGGCUCAACCCCGGAGUGCCGUUGAAACUGGCAGUCUUGAGUAGACUAGAGGUAUGCGGAAUGCGCGGUGUAGCGGUGAAAUGCUUAGAUAUUGCGCAGAACUCCGAUUGCGAAGGCAGCAUACCGGCGGCGAUCUGACGCUGAGGCACGAAAGCGUGGGUAUCGAACAGGAUUAGAUACCCGUGUAGUC
rnacentral:rRNA from 1 species